GUUUUAUUGGCUUGCCCCAUUGAUAGCUGAUUUUUUUGUGAGGAGCAAGGAGGGGAAGAUCUUGGCUGCUAUUACAACUACUAUUUAUAUCAACAAUGGCUUCUGCAGGUAUGAAUUCGUUUCAAUUAAUUUAUUGGAUUGUGAUUAUCGAUUCUUAACAUGAUUAAAACUAAAGAUUAACAAUUGGUAUCAGAGCCUUUAUGUUAAGAUCGAAAUCCUUCAUGAAUUUUUGUUGUUUUUUUUUAUAUCACGUGGAAAAAUGUUUUCUGUUAAUACAUUUUUGUUUGGGCAUAUAUGUAUAAUGUAUAAUUCAUUAUAUAAACAUAUGUAAAGAAAUCCAAAUCCAAACACGUAGGAGGGAGUCCAUUUAUUUAAUACAAAAAAUAUUGUACAAAAUUUUCCACCCUCCAUCCGUUUCCACUUUUACCCAAGUCGGCUAAAUCACCUAUUUGUUUGAAACCUAACCUCAGACAACCCUCCUUUUCCCCUCCACAUGCACACACGCAAAUACACAAUUAAUUAAUCCAACACCACCAUCUACCAAGAAUUUGAUGAGCCUAAAAUCCGCAACGUAAGCUUUGAAAUUAGAAUUCAGCAAAAUAUUUUUGAUUUCACAUCUUAAUGCACAAUCAAUGGCAAUUUUGUACCUCAGAUUCCAGCUUAGGAAUUCCACUUUUCUUCCCGUGCAACACCCGCUUUUGGGUUGUAUAGCAGCCGAGGACUCGGGUUGAGGUGGCGUGUCGGAUUUUGGCGCUGGUAGGGUUUUAAUUUUCAUUCGGCCGACGUGAAGAGUAUUGGAUUUUGG
rnacentral:lncRNA from 1 species